UCAUAAACCCGACAUCAGCGGAAAUCCUUUUUGUUGCCCCUUCGAUAGGUUCAGAAUAACAGUAACAAAAAGAUUGUAGCGAAUGGCGGGGCUGCGU
rnacentral:sRNA from 1 species